ACAAGCAAACGUAUGCGUCAUAUUUCUGCGCUGAUAACUACAUCUGUGCUCACAUACUAGCCUAAAAUCCUAUAUCAGCUUUUACAUUAGGUUGUUUUCUUCAAAAUGAGAGCAUUCUCGUGUGUCUGUGAGCAUGCAUGGCUAAACGGCACUAUAAUAUGUCUCAGAUGCGCAGAUCAAAACAUGCAAUGCAGCGUAAAACAUGACCAGUAUUUGUAUUGACUCUCUUUGAUUCCUUUCGACUUGCAAUGACGUCAUCACGCAGUGCGUCCUAUGUCAUGAAAGCUGACAGCCUCCCCUCUCCAUAGACACAUCGAUCAAGCUUCUAGACCAUUCAGAGCCCGAGUUGUUCCUUUCCAAAGUUGAGGAGGCGGCUUUGGAGGAGUUUGAUCGGAUGUCCGACACUGAAACUUGCAGCGAUGCUAGCUAGCUUUGACUCGGUCAGAGAAGCUGCUUACAAACUGGGAGAAGACCCUGAUUUUGAUUGUAGCAUCCAGUGGUGAAGAAUGGGAGCCAGCAAGUCAGGAUACUUAUUGUGUGUGUGUGUGUGUGUAAAAUAAAAUGCAAGAACAGAA